CCAUGGAAACAUUUAAACAGCACAACAAACUAAAAACAAAUUAAAAUACAAUAUGAUACAAAUAAACUACAAGGACAAAAAGAGGAUAGCAAGGAGAAGGAAAAAAGUCUGUCCCGUACAAUAUGUAGGCAUGGCAAGCAUCCAGUAAUGGCUUGUGGAAAACAAUUUAAAAAGAAACACAGAUACAUGCAAAAAUAAAAGAGAAAACAAAUUACGUUUACUUACAAUCAGACGAAACGGCAAGGAGGACGAGCAACAACAAAGCACCAGCAGGCAUGAGCAGAGGCAAUGCAGUAGUUGCAUUGUCCCGUCAAUACCGGCCAGCUCCGUCAUCCUCCUGUACCACAGCCAUGCUGCUGGAUUAUGGGCGUCUCAGUUGUGUAGUGGCAUGUUGGAUAGGAAACGCCGUCGUCAAUGUAUUAAUGGCCUCCAGAAGUUAAAGAGUACAGCAUGGUUGUGGUCCAUCGAGCGGCAAUCUGGUCCGGCCGCCCGGAAGUUGGCUGUGUGUCUGAGUGUGUGUGUGUGCCGCAUCAAGUAUUCGGGAAUGGCUUCAAAACUCACCCAAGCUGGCUGGCAUGGCAUGGCCAGGCCAAUGUGAGUGAAGGCAGGCUAAAGCAGCACACAAACUCAGAAACACAGACACAGAUGCAGAUGCAGCAACGAGCGACAAACUGGUCCGGCCGCCCGUGCCUUGUCAUAGUUGUAGUGGCUUGUGGCGUACAAGGUGUCUGCGUAUGUACAUACAUCAUUUCGAGCGACAAACGGGUCCGGCCGCCCAAAAAGUGUACCGCAUCGUGGAGUCAUAAUAGUCGAUCA